rnacentral:rRNA from 1 species
GCAGUAGCCGCGGUAAUACAGAGGUCCCGAGCGUUGUUCGGAUUCACUGGGCGUAAAGGGUGUGUAGGAGGCUUGGUAAGUCAGGUGUGAAAUCCCGCAGCUCAACUGCGGAACUGCAUUCGAUACUGCCGAGCUAGAGGAUCGGAGGGGGAAGCGGAAUUCUUGGUGUAGCGGUGAAAUGCGUAGAUAUCAAGAGGAACACCGGUGGCGAAGGCGGCUUCCUGGAAGAUACCUGACUCUGAAACACGAAAGCUAGGGGAGCGAAUGGGAUUAGAUACCCGAGUAGUCCCUGUCUCUUAUAC